rnacentral:lncRNA from 1 species
CCGCAUAGUCAGCAAUAAAUGACUCCGAAAUAACAAUGUAAAACAAUUCAAACGAGAAAACUAACUGCCUAAUUUAUGUACAAAAAAUGAACAAAAAACAAAUAUGUGACCUUAUAAAGCUUUGGCGUUAAUUUGAUUGCUGUCUUAUUUAUAUUAACCCACAUGUAUGUUAUCCACACAAAUAAAUCUGGCAACGCUUUGAAUAUUUUUACAUACAAACCUGCUCUCAACACAUCUUAUGGGACUAAAAACAAAUAGCAACCGGACCUGUACCGACGCCUAUGUGCCUGCAUCAAUCGUAUUUUAUUAUGGACGUUUUUCAUCAAUACUUUA